GAUGAACGCUAGCUACAGGCUUAACACAUGCAAGUCGAGGGGAAACGGCAUUAAGUGCUUGCACUUUUUGGACGUCGACCGGCGCACGGGUGAGUAACGCGUAUCCAACCUUCCCAUGACUAAGGGAUAACCUGCCGAAAGGCAGACUAAUACCUUAUGGUCUUCACUGACGGCAUCAGAUGUGAAGUAAAGAUUUAUCGGUUAUGGAUGGGGAUGCGUCUGAUUAGCUUGUUGGCGGGGUAACGGCCCACCAAGGCAACGAUCAGUAGGGGUUCUGAGAGGAAGGUCCCCCACAUUGGAACUGAGACACGGUCCAAACUCCUACGGGAGGCAGCAGUGAGGAAUAUUGGUCAAUGGGUGAGAGCCUGAACCAGCCAAGUAGCGUGCAGGAUGACGGCCCUAUGGGUUGUAAACUGCUUUUGUAUGGGGAUAAAGUCAAUCACGUGUGAUUGUUUGCAGGUACCAUACGAAUAAGGACCGGCUAAUUCCGUGCCAGCAGCCGCGGUAAUACGGAAGGUCCGGGCGUUAUCCGGAUUUAUUGGGUUUAAAGGGAGCGUAGGCUGGAGAUUAAGUGUGUUGUGAAAUGUAGACGCUCAACGUCUGACUUGCAGCGCAUACUGGUUUCCUUGAGUACGCACAACGUUGGCGGAAUUCGUCGUGUAGCGGUGAAGUGCUUAGAUAUGACGAAGAACUCCGAUUGCGAAGGCAGCUGACGGGAGCGCAACUGACGCUGAAGCUCGAAGGUGCGGGUAUCGAACAGG
rnacentral:rRNA from 1 species